GAUCCUGGCUCAGAUUGAACGCUGGCGGCAUGCUUUACACAUGCAAGUCGACGGUAACAGGCCUUCGGGUGCUGACGAGUGGCGAACGGGUGAGUAAUGCAUCGGAACAUACCCAGUCGUGGGGGAUAACGUAGCGAAAGUUACGCUAAUACCGCAUACGUCCUGAGGGNGAAANCGGGGGAUCGCAAGACCUCGCGCGAUUGGAGUGGCCGAUGUCAGAUUAGCUAGUUGGUGGGGUAAAGGCCCACCAAGGCGACGAUCUGUAGCGGGUCUGAGAGGAUGAUCCGCCACACUGGGACUGAGACACGGCCCAGACUCCUACGGGAGGCAGCAGUGGGGAAUUUUGGACAAUGGGCGCAAGCCUGAUCCAGCCAUGCCGCGUGCGGGAAGAAGGCCUUCGGGUUGUAAACCGCUUUCAGCCGGAAAGAAAUCGCACGGACCAAUACUCUGUGUGGAUGACGGUACCGGAAGAAGAAGCACCGGCUAACUACGUG
rnacentral:rRNA from 1 species